GCGUUUUCCACAUUCACUACAGGAAAAUGGUUUUUCUCCAGUGUGAAUCCUCUGAUGUUUCUUUAGAUUUGAAUGAAUAGUAAAACAUUUCCCACAUUCAGAACAAGAAAUAGUUUUCUCUCCUGUGUGAAUCCUUUGGUGUGACUUAAGAUUUGUCAUUUGAGUGAAACAUCUCCCACAUUCUGAACAUGAAAAAGGUUUCUCUCCUGUGUGCAACCUCAUAUGUCUCCUAAGAUCUGACAUUUGAGCAAAGCGUUUCCCACAUUCAGAACAAGAAAAUAGUUUCUCUCCUGUGUGAAUCCUCUGAUGUUUCUUAAGAGUUGACUUGCGAGCAAAACAUUUCUCGCAUUCAGAACAAGAAAAUGGUUUGUCUCCUGUGUGACUCUUUUGAUGAGUAUUAAGAGUUGAAGUAUCAGUGAAACAUUUCCCACAUUCAGAACAAGAAAAUGGUUUCUCUCCUGUGUGAAUCCUCUGAUGUGUCUUAAGAGUUGAGUUGCGAGUAAAACAUUUCUUGCAUUCAGAACAAGAAAAUGGUUUGUCUCCUGUGUGACUCUUUUGAUGAGUAUUAAGAGUUAAAGUAUCAGUGAAACAUUUUCCACAUUCAGAACAAGAAAUAGUUUUCUCUCCUGUGUGAAUCUUCUGGUGUAAUCUAAGAUGUGACAAUUGAUUUAACCUUUUC